rnacentral:tRNA from 1 species
CUGGGUGUGGCGCAGCUCGGUAGCGCGCACCGUUCGGGACGGUGAGGUCGCUGGUUCAAAUCCAGUCACCCAGACCA